GACGAACGCUGGCGGCGUGCCUAAUACAUGCAAGUCGAACGCACUGGGGCCGGGUGAGUAACACGUGGGUAACCUCCCAUCAGAGGGCAUAACACUUGGAAACAGGUGCUAAACCGAUACUGGUGGAUGGACCCGCUGUGCAUUAGCUAGCGGGUGAGGUAACGGCUCAGCAGGGCGACGAUGCAUAGCCGACCUGAGAGGGUGAUCGGCCACACUGGGACUGAGACACGGCCCAGACUCCUACGGGAGGCAGCAGUGGGGAAUCUUGGGCAAUGGACGAAAGUCUGACCGAGCAACGCCGCGGGAGUGAAGAAGGUUUUCGGAUCGUAAAACUCUGUUGUCAGAGAAGCGGUAUCUAACCAGAAAGCCACGGCUAACUACGGGCCAGCAGCCGCGGUAAUAC
rnacentral:rRNA from 1 species